rnacentral:lncRNA from 10 species
CCAGAAGGGAAAGAGAAAUAUUUUUACAACAAUAUGCAAAGAAGUCAUUCAAGAGCAGGCUUAUGGCGUUAAAACUUUUGUCUUCAAACCUAGCAGCAAGUCUUCUCAUAUUGAGUCAUUUACUUACAAGGGCAUAAAUGAGCGCACAGUUCUUUCAUUGAUGAGCAGGCAAGGGAAAACAUAAUCAGAGAAAGAGAGGGGGUGAUAAAGAGAGGUACAUGGACAAAAAGCAAGAGGGAGAGAGAUGUCUUGAGUCGAAAGCUUCUUGAGGUCAGGAUUCAGGUUUUCACUCUGGUUCUUCUUUUGAACAGGAUGGUGCAUGUGAUCAUGUUGAUACUGGGGCAACCUGUCCCAUUUGAGCAUUAGUGAUUUUGCAGUCAGACUUAAAGCGUCUAUUAUGCAUCACGGUCUCCUAUAACGUAUCUUGAACUCGACACCAGAACUGUCCAGUGCCAUGCUUUCAGGAGACUUUUGUGUAGGUGGAACAAGUCUGUCCAUAUAAGACUGCUGGUGCUGAUGCAAGUGUUCUAUUAUGUGCCAUCAAAGCGCUGGAAAUGGGGCUAGUGCAACUGAGAAACUGAAUUUUUAAUUAAAAAAAUCUUUUUUAGUGAUGGAGUCUUGCUCUGUUGUGCAUGCAGGCUGGAGUGCAGUGACACCAUCAUAGCUUACUGCACCCUUGAACGUCUGGGCUGAAGUGAUUCUCCUGCUUCCACUUCUCAAGCGGCUGGGACUACACAGUCAUGCACCACUACACCUGGGGAAAGAGACCUGCAGUUAAAUUUGAAAUGAUGGACAACUUGACCCCAAAAAGACCUUGCUGUAAUUUGAAUUCCUGUUGGCUGUCUGAAAGUUACAAUGACCCCAGAUGUAACC